UGACCUCGGAUCAGGUAGGAGUACCCGCUGAACUUAAGCAUAUCAAUAAGCGGAGGAAAAGAAACCAACAGGGAUUGCCUCAGUAACGGCGAGUGAAGCGGCAAAAGCUCAAAUUUGAAAUCUGGCUCCAUGCGGAGCCCGAGUUGUAAUUUGGAGAGGACACUUCGGGUGCGGCCACGGCAUAAGUUCCUUGGAACAGGACGUCAUAGAGGGUGAGAAUCCCGUCUUUGGCUGCUGGACCGCGCCCAUGCGAAGUUCCUCCGACGAGUCGAGUUGUUUGGGAUGCAGCUCUAAGUGGGUGGUAAAUUUCAUCUAAGGCUAAUGUUUGGCCGGAGACGAGAGAGAGGCAAGUGGUUAAACCACCGCUCAACAGCGCGUUGAAAAGCGCGCCAAAUAGUUCGUGAAGUUGUGGAAGGGGAACCGCUUGCACGCCGGAGUCGCGCGCGGGGGUUCGCCGUGUUU
rnacentral:ncRNA from 1 species